GAACUUGUUACAUACACUGAUCUAUAUAACUGGAUAGCUCAUGACGUCACAACAGUGAAGCUACUGCGCCGCCAUCUUGGUAUUCCCUAACGUUCUGUAUUCCUAUGGGUCUCAAUGGGAAAUCGUCUGUUUUGCAGCAUUACGUUCAGCGGCGCACGUGUUACUUCAAUAGAAACAAGUUUAAGAAACUGAGUGCAGGCCUGAAUACGGUCCAGCUCAUGGGCAUCAUAAUAAAAGUGAUCAAUUGGAAUAGACGAGGAGCAGGGCU